CCCCCGGUAGCUCAGCAGGAAGAGCAUACAGAGCACAAUGGAGGAUGUUGCAAGCCUAUUCUGUAGACGCUGGUUCGAGUCCAGCCCGGGGGG